UGUGUUCAGUCGCGGGCUCGUUGGCGUCAGGGAUGCCGCUCUCCAGAUUGGGACGGUAGCCUGGCUGUUGGCGGGCUUGUGGUGCAUUGGCAGGUGGAGUGCGUUGAGGCGCUCGGUGCAGCGGCAUGAGCUCGUGUCUUGAGGCCAGCCACGCAAGUGGUCUGGUACCCGGAUCGGGGGAGUGCUGUUUGCGCUGGGUGUUUGUUGUGUGAGCAGUGGUCUCGGGCCCGGGUGGUGCCGAGCGGUCAGUCGGCGGCGGUCGCGUGCGACACGUGUCGGCGGGCUGUUCGGUCUUGCUCGUGGCUCCCACUUUGCUCGUCCUCGGUGUAAAAGCCGGUCAUCUGUCCGACCCGUCUUGAAACACGGACCAAGGAGUUUAGCGUGUGCGCGAGUCAUUGGGUGUUGAAAACCUAAAGGCGUAAUGAAAGUGAAGGUCUGCCUUGUGCAGCUGAUGUGUGAUCCUGGCCACCGCGGUGCGUCCGGGCGCAACAUAGUCCCGUCCCGAUCGCAUGCGAUGGGGCGGAGACAGAGCGUACGCGCUGAG
rnacentral:rRNA from 1 species